rnacentral:rRNA from 1 species
GAUGAACGCUGACAGAAUGCUUAACACAUGCAAGUCGAUGGGGAAGUGGUGCUUGCACCAUGGUAACCAUGGCGGACGGGUGAGUAACGCGUAAGGAACUUACCUGCGGGACCGGGAUAACAGCAGGAAACUGCUGACAAGACCGGAUAAGGUCAUUAAGCUGCAUAGCUUAGUGAUGAAAGGAGACGCCUGCGGAGAGCCUUGCGUCCUAUUAGCUAGUUGGAGGGGUAACGGCCCACCAAGGCGAAGAUAGGUAGCCGGCCUGAGAGGGUGGACGGCCACAAGGGGAAUGAGAUACGGCCCUUACUCCUACGGGAGGCAGCAGUGGGGAAUAUUGGACAAUGGGGGCAACCCUGAUGCAGCAAUUCUGUGUGCACGAAGACGGUUUUCGGAUUGUAAAGUGCUUUCAGCAGGGAAGAAGGAAGUGACGGUACCUGCAGAAGAAGCGACGGCUAAAUACGUG